rnacentral:lncRNA from 1 species
CUUGACUUCACAUCCCCUAGGCUCGUGCCAGUUUUAUCUUCCCGUGGGAGACAGCAAAUGCACCAAAUAUCGGAGAACUUUGAACGAUUUGAGCAAUUGGCCAUCGCCAACCACCUCUUUUAAGUAAUGACUUCUUCUGCCCUUCAAAUCUCUUCAAUCGAUUCAGUUUUAGGUAGAUAUCAUUGUCACUUCUGAUUCUUUGAACCUUAUUAUCAUUAAGCUCCGUCACGUAGUCGCCACGCGACAGACACCAUGCUUCCCCACAUGAAGCUAGGACUUGACCGGAGAACUAGGUUGAAUCGGUUCAUAACAUCUUGGAAGUCACCGGAAGACCCGGGAACCGGUGAAUACUCGUUUAAGUUGGAUGUGAGUGGAUCUUCUCAACUGUUCUUGUCUAUGGGUUCUGAGUGGAUUUGGCGAACGGGCCCCUGGAACGGUCUUGGAUUCGUGGGUGUGCCGGAGAUGUUAACUACCUUCAUAUUCGAUAUCCGGUUUUGGAACACUGUGGAUGAGGUCUCGAUGGAAUUCACCCUCGUGAAUUCUUCUUCUUUCUCAAGCAUUAAGUUGGGCAGUGAUGGACUCUACCAGCGCUACACGUUGGACGAACGAAACCACCAAUUGGUAGCGAUCUGGUCAGCGGCGAGGGACCCCUGCGACAACUACGGCCGGUGUGGGCCCAACAGCAACUGCGACGUCUAUACAGGAGCUGGCUUUGAGUGUACAUGCCUUGCGGGAUUCGAGCCCAAGUCGCUACGUGACUGGUCCUUGAGAGACGGGUCGGGUGGGUGUGAGAGGAGCCAAGGCGCGAAUACUCGUAGGAGUGAAGCCACCAGAUGCAUCGACGGCACGUGUCAACGAUAGUUUAAACUUGGAAGGCUGUGAAAAGGAGUGCUUGAAUGACUGUAACUGCCGUGCAUACGCUACCGCUAAUGUGAGCGCAGGAGGAAGUGGGUGCUUGUCUUGGUACGGGGAUUUAAUGGACAUAAGAACCUUAGCCCAAGGGGGCCAAGAUUUAUUUGUUCGCGUGGAUGCUAUUAUUUUAGGUAUGCGUUCCUACUUACUCACAAAAUUAAUUAUCCAAGCUUAUCUUGAAAUUAUUCAAAGAAAUUAAAUACAAUGACUUAUUUCUUUCCAUAUUCUAACUCCAAAUUGAUAUCCUACAUCAAAUAGGAAAAAAAAAAGUUUAUAAUUUUAUAUUGUAAGCCAAUACAAGGAUAGAUUAGGACAAAUGGAUCAAAUAAUUCAUUUUUAUUAAAUGAAUAAUAAACUUUGUGAUAUUAAUUAUAACACCACUCACAUAUUUAAUCAACUAAAUGUACUUGCAAAAUGAAUUUGAUAACUAAUGUACUUAUAAAGGAAGAAAGAUAACAUACGUAAUAUGCUAUGACAACAAUAUAAUAUAAUUAUAUAUAAUAAAAGAAAUUAAUUUUAGUAUACAUUAUUUUAAUAUCAUGUUUAUAACUAUUAUAAAAGAUGACUUAUUUUUGUUUUAUACUUGACUUUAUUUAUUUUUUGUUCCGACUUCAUGAUUAAAUAUGAUUAUUUAUUUUUUGUUCCGACUUCAUGAUUAAAUAUGAAAAAAGUAAAGACAAAAUUAACCUAAUGUUACGUAAAAUAUCAAAUACUAUUAUAUAUAUUUAAUACAUUUUUAAAAAGUAUUCAAAUUGUGAAUUUUAAAAUUACGAAUAUAUUGAUGUAAAAAAUAUAUAAAAUGUUUAGAUUGGAUUCGACUUGAGGUUGUAUUAGUGAACCAUCAAUGAAACCUAACUUUGUGUUUUUCUAAAUUUGAGGCUCAUCUAUUGAUGUUGCCACCCUAGCACUUUCCUUUAUUAAGUCUUAUUAUCAUGUUAUAUGGUUUUCAUCACCCUUACAUCGAACAAAGGUUUUAAGACUUCUAAGAUUAAUGAUGAUUUUCUACAUAUUUUUUUUCUCCUUUCUAUAGUAGAAAAUGAAAGAAAAAAAACUUUCUUUCAUAAGAAAAGGAUGAUAGUGGUUCUCGCAGUCGGGGUUGUUUUCUUCAUGAUUUCUAUGAUCUCUGCAUCUUGGUUGAUAAUGAAGAAAAGAAAAGGUAUUGAAAAGUUUGUGGUAAUGAAGUAAUGAAAAAUUUCAUCUAUUUUACCUUCCUUUUUUAGGAUUACAAUAAAAUAUAGUAUAAUGAACCCAAAAACUCUUAAGUACUAGAAAAUAUAACAAUUAAGUAUUGAUAAUUUUUUGGUGAUCCUGAAAUCAUGCGGGCAAAGGAAGACAUUGUAAAAUGUCAUUUAAUAUGAGCUCAAAAGCUAUAAGGCUCAGUCACUAUUCAAAAGCAAAGGAGCUAGAUGAAAGUGGAGCAAAUUCUAAAUUACAAUUCUUUGAUCUAAGCAUUGUAAUUGCAGCAACAAAUAAUUUCUCUUUUACUAACAAACUUGGACGAGGUGGUUUUGGCUCAGUUUAUAAGGUAGUCAUCAUCAAUGAUAAUUUACAUGCAUGUUUCAUGAUAGUCAUUAUAUUAAUUAAGUUGACUUUUUCACUAUAUUUAAACAAUGAAUUAGUUAAAUCUAUAUAUAUAUAUAUAUAUAUAUAUUUUGAUGAUUGUUAGGGCCUACUAUCCAAUGGACAAGAAAUAGCUGUGAAAAGAUUAUCAAAGGAUUCAGGACAAGGAGUAGAAGAAUUUAAGAAUGAAGUCACUCUAAUUGCAAAACUCCAACACAAGAAUCUUGUAAAGCUUCUAGGUUGUUGUAUUGAAAAAGAAGAGAAAAUGCUAAUCUAUGAGUACUUGCCGAACAAAAGUUUGGACUCUUUCAUUUUUGGUAUCAAUGUCUUAUCUUAUACCAUUUUGUUGAUCUCUUUUACCUCUAGUUUUUGCAUAAUCACUUGGAGAAGCUAUUUUAACUAUUCAUUCAUUAGUAAUUGAUGUUUCGUAUAUUUUGUAUAGAUGAAACAAAAAAAUCAAUGUUGGCAUGGAAUAAGCGCUUUGAAAUCAUUAUUGGAAUUGCUUAAGGGACCUUAUAUCUUCAUCAAGACUCAAGAUUAAGAAUCAUACAUAGAGACCUAAAAGCAAGCAAUAUUCUAUUAGACAUUGAUAUGAUCCCAAAAUUUUCAGAUUUUGGUAUGGCUAGAUUAUUUGGCAAGAAUCAAAUUGAAGGAAGCACAAAUCGGGUUGUUGGAACAUAGUGAGUAUUAUAUAUAAGGUAGUAAUAAGGAACACAUGAUUAAAUCUUAAUAAUUUUUCUCAUUUGUUGAUACAGUGGUUAUAUGUCACCUGAGUAUGCAAUGGAAGGACUAUUUUCAAUCAAGUCUGAUGUAUAUAGCUUUGGGGUUUUGCUACUAGAGAUUAUUACUGGGAGAAGAAAUACAGCUUAUUAUUAUGAUAGUCCUUCUUUCAACUUAGUUGGAUAUGUGAGUAAAUUGAACCUUUGUUGCUCUAUUUUUCCUUAUUUUAUUUACUUAUAUAAGCUAGCUAAUAGUGAAGAAAAAAAAUUAGGUUUGGAGCCUAUGGAGAGAAGACAAGGCCUUGGAUAUAGUAGAUCCAUCACUAGAAAAGUCAAAUCAUGCAAAUGAAGUAUUGAGAUGCAUCCAAAUUGGACUCUUAUGUGUCCAAGAAUCUACAAUAGAUCGACUUACCAUGUUGACAGUUAUUUUCAUGUUGGGUAACAACUCUACUCUUCCUCCUCCUAAUCAACCUACAUUUGUUAUGAAAACAUGUCAUAAUGGUGCAAACUCAUCUAGUGUAGGAGUCAAUUCUGUAAAUAAGGUAACAAUAACUAUGGAUGCACGCUAAAUGCUCAAGCUCUCAUAUGUAAAUUUAUUUAUCAUGACAAGAAAUUGUGCACACAAUAUCAUUAAAUUUCUUUAUUUUUAUAAAUCACUUUUUAUAUAUGCUUAUGUGGAUGACAAAUAAAAUGAUUACUUUUUUUUUUUUCCAUAAACUGACCCAUCAGGUUUUGCAAGGCUUCUAAAUACAUAAAUGUAUGCUCAAAGAUGGAACAAAGUCGAACGAUUGAUUAAACAUAAUCACUCCAUUGAAAGCUUAAUUGAUCUCCUCAGUAGGGUUUUUAGGUGACCAAUUCUAAUUUGGAAAUGGGUAUUUGCAUUAGUAUUCUUAUGCUUGAUUGAAAUAUCAAUAUCAAUGGUUUUCACUUAGGAAAUUUGUCAAAAUUCAAUUCAAACUUUUGGAGGAAAACAAACAUAGUACUUAUUGGGUGUUUGUAUAAAUUAAAACACAAAUGCAAUGAUGGUAUUUUGAGCUAAUCAUUUGCAAAAUUUUCAAGAUUACCCUUAAGCCAUUUUUAACUCUUAUUCGUUUUUCAAACUUUCCCUCAUGUUUUAAAAUGAACUUCUUUACAAAUGGAAAAUCUCAGACAUAAUAGAUGAUAUCAAAAUAGAGAAGUUUGAACAUAAGUCAAUAAUUUCUCUAUUGUGUUAUUACUACGAAUAUAUGUUGCAUGAGUAUAUUAUCUGGAUUCAUAUCCAACAUAUAGAGAUUGAAAGAAACCGAACUCUGUUAUUAUGUUGCACAACUAAUUUUCCUAAAAGCUUAAACUUAUAGGAUUUGAAGUCAAUAUGUGUUUUAUGCCCGUUAACACUCAAGACAUAUUUCAAUAAAAAAUUUCAUAAACUUCUCAAACAUUUAUACUACAUACAACCUAGGGCACCAAAGAACAUGAGUAAAAGGACUAUAUGCUAGAAGUCAUUAUUUCUAAUAUUUAGUGGAUUUAAUAUUUAUAUUAUUAAAAAUUAAUAUUUAUGUGAAUAAAAAAUAUCUCAACAUAAAAUUACAAAAUUUAAUUAUUUCUAAAGAAAUGUAUUAAAUUUAGAAUUUUUAAAAUUUAGUUUUUAUUAUCCGAUUUACUAUUAAAUGCUUAUUGUUUUGGUAUUCUUUAUUUUUUCAAUGGUCUUUUUCCACGAAUUACUUCAUAUAUCUAUAGUUUUGUCGAUCUUUGACACAUGGAUUAUCUUGGAAAAUGUUCUUAAUAACAAAGAAAUAUUCCUUCUCGUGAUGAGUAUGAACUCGAAUUCUCAUUUUUUAGCGAAUAAAGCUCCCCAAUUUGGUGAGGAAAUGGGAUAGUUACUCAUUUUUUUGGUUACUCGCAUUAUUUACUCAAAGUAUUUAUCCAAAUAUCCGAUACACUUACGAAACCACACUUUUCCAUUUCCAAAACGUAACAUACGUGACGAUAGGCUUGCACAAUUGAAAAGCAAUAUUGACAUUUAACAUUGAAGGAUUUAAUUGUGGUCUUAUGUUUUUUGGAGGUCCUAAAAACAGGUGAAAACAUAAAAUAACAUUAACUUGACCAACUCAACAUGUGAUUACGUAGUAUACGUCGAUGUGGUCAAUAAAAUUUCUUUCCCUUGACUUGGCAUCGAGUACGCUAGUGCCAGCCUUAUCUUCCCAUGGGAACUUGAACAAUUUGAGCAAUUGGCCAUUGCCAACCACCUUUUUAAGUAAUGUCUUCUUCCACCCUUCAAAUAUCUUAAAUCGAUUCAGUUUUAUGUAGAUAUCAUUUUCACUUUUGAACCUUAUUUAUUAUCAUUAAGCUCCGUAACGUAGCCGCCACUCGCAAGUUGCAUCAAAAUUGAAGGUUAACCGUUGGGUAGGUGCAAUUUUGAACUGAUCAAUGCUAUGAUACGUUUAAUACAACUUCAACUUUGUCCCAUUCAUAAAUGUGGUGUGGAGAUAGUACAAAUGCAACUCUGUCUAAAGCUUUUGUCAUUUGCUCCACUCGUUCCUUCAUGGUAUGCCUUGUUGGUUUGUGUUGUAUAAUUGCUCUGUCUCUUCCACCAGCGCUCAUCAUCGGUAACACGGAAGUCAGUAGAUGGAUGUUUAGUACAUGAGCAUCUUCAUUGCAAAUAAUUUUACAAAUUUUCAGUACAUUCUUCAUCGGAUUUCCACUUUCUCUAAAAUAUUGUAAAUGGUCGAACAUGGGUAUAAGGUAUGGCUUCAGAUCCAAAACAUUUAAAAGUUCAAAGUUAAGAACUGAUGAUGUGAAAUCAAGAGGGAAAAUAUCAUUGGGAAAUGGAAAAAGAUUUGAGAGAUGAUAAUAACGAAGACUUCAAAGAGUGAAAAUCUAGCUUUUACUCUUGAUUAGGAUAGUUGGACCAUCCAACCAUCGACACUAGAUGGAGUUAGGUUGAGAAAGGGAAAGCCGUCAUAUUCAAAAUUUUAAGAUGGAAAAUGGUUUGGUUUAAAGACCUUAGGGCAUCCCUAAUUUGGUUGGUUUUUUAGUACUGACUAAUGAGAAGAUUUGUUUUUUUGUUUUCCAUUGAAUUUUUUUUCUUUAAUCUCAUUAACAAAUGAAUGGCCAUACAUGUUAGAAGAACAAUUAAAAUACACUAUUACUUCGAUGCAACGCACAAGGGAAGGAAGACAACAAAAAGUGUUAUAAUUUGAACCCUGUUGCUACAUGCCUCCAAAAAUUUUUCCCCAAGAACAAAGAAGUAUCGUGUAAGUAGAAUAAAUUCUAAUGAAAAAUAGUUGGAUAAUAUCUAAUUCUUGUGAGACUGAUUUUCCCUCACAAUGCAAAGUAGAGGCAAGAACACAAAUAACAAAUGAAGAAUAUUGAUUGAAAAUACGGAGAGCAUUCCACUAGGCUCGUAACAGCCUUAUCUUCCCGUGGGAGACGGCAAAUGCACCAAAUAUCGGAGAACUUUGAACAAUUUGAGCAAUAGAACCCACACAACUACAAGCAAUAUGAAUCAGUGGGUCCUUUCCUUGACUUUACAUCCACUAGGCUCGUGCCAGCUUUAUCUUCCCGUGGGAGACAGCAAAGGCACCAAACAUCGGAGAACUUUGAACGAUUUGAGCAAUUGGCCAUCGCCAACCACCUCUUUUAAGUAAUGACUUCUUCUACCCUUCAAAUCUCUUCAAUCGAUUCAGUUUUAGGUAGAUAUCAUUGUCACUUCUGAUUCUUUGAACCUUACUUAUUAUCAUUAAGCUCCGUCACGUAGUCGCCACGCGCUAGUACUUCAAUCCACCUGCAACUCGUUCCUUCAUGGUAUGCCUAGUUAGUUUGUGUUGUAGAAUUGCUCUGUCUCUUCCACCAACGCUCAGCAUCGGUAACACGGAAGUCAUCACUUUAUCAUGAAGUCACAUAUGCAUCCUGUAAAGAUGUUUCUUCAGUACUUGCUUCUAUUCCUUAUGCUCCCACUUUGCAGCUCCACUAACACCAUAACUCCCAACCAACCCUUCAGAGAUGGUGACCUUCUAGUCUCUAAACAGUCCAGGUUCGCUCUUGGCUUCUUCAGUCCACGGAAUUCUACACUCCGAUAUAUUGGAGUUUGGUACAACACAAUUCGUGAACAAACCGUUGUAUGGGUUCUUAACAGAGACCAUCCUAUCAACGAUAGCUCCGGAGUCCUCUCCAUCAACACUUCUGGAAACCUCCUUCUGCACCGCGGAAACACUCAUGUAUGGUCCACAAACGUUUCCAUCUCAUCAGUGAACCCUACUGUGGCUCAGCUCUUAGAUACAGGAAACCUAGUCUUGAUCCAUAACGGUGACAAGAGGGUUGUGUGGCAAGGCUUUGAUUAUCCCACAGAUAAUUGGAUUCCCCACAUGAAAUUCGGACUGAAUCGGAGAACCGGUUUCAACGUGUUCCUAACUUCUUGGAAGUCCCCAACCGACCCAGGAACAGGGAAAUACUCGUAUAGGAUUAACGCCAGUGGGUCUCCACAAAUAUUUUUGUACCAGGGUUCAGAGCCGCUAUGGAGAACCGGUAACUGGAACGGGCUCCGGUGGAGCGGUCUGCCGGCGAUGAUGUACAUAUCCGAACUCAAAAUUAUCUUUUUGAACAAUCAAGAUGAAAUCUCUGAGAUGUUUACUAUGGUCAACGCGUCGUUUCUCCAGCGGGUGACGGUGGACCACGAGGGAUAUCUCCAGCGGAACAUGUGGCAGGAAAGGGAAGGCAAAUGGUUCAGCUUCUACACAGCCCCAAGGGACAGGUGCGACAGGUACGGCCUGUGCGGACCCAACAGCAACUGCGACGACAGCCAGGCCGAGUUUGAGUGCACGUGCCUGGCGGGGUUCGAGCCCAAGUCGCCACGUGACUGGUUCUUGAAAGACGGCUCAGCAGGAUGUCUGAGGAAGGAAGGAGCGAAGGUGUGCGGGAACGGGGAAGGGUUUGUGAAGGUGGGACGUGCGAAGCCUCCAGAUACAUCGGUGGCACGUGUGAACAUGAACAUCAGCGUGGAAGCGUGUAGAGAGGAGUGCCUGAAGGAGUGUUCUUGCAGUGGAUACGCGGCUGCAAAUGUGAGUGGAAGUGGGAGUGGGUGCUUGUCUUGGCAUGGGGAUUUGGUGGAUACAAGAGUGUUUCCUGAAGGGGGCCAAGAUUUAUAUGUGCGUGUGGAUGCCAUCACUCUAGGUAUGCUAGCAGUUAAUUGUCAGGAUUCGUUGAAUGAUUUCUCUCCCAGAUUUAUGAGAUCAUUUAUGAUGUUUUUUUUUUUUCUUGUAUUUUUUUAGCUGAAAAUCAAAAGCAGUCAAAAGGUUUCCUUGCGAAAAAGGGGAUGAUGGCAGUUUUGGUGGUGGGGGCUACCGUGAUUAUGGUUCUGUUGGUCUCCACAUUUUGGUUCUUAAGGAAGAAGAUGAAAGGUAAUCAAACAAAAAUUCUUAUGGUUCAUUUAAGCCUUCUAUCCAAUGUUUGUGUCUUGGGCAUGGAUUAACAUGAAGAGAUUAAUAAGAAAAGUCAAACAUUUCUAAGCUUAGUUACCCAGUGAAUUAAUAUGGGGUUGAGUCUUUUUUCCUUGCUUUCAUGGUAUUAAGGAAUUGUAUUAUUUCUUCUUUUUUUUUCCCAUUUAUUUUCCCCCACAAUCAAAAAAACAUUAUUUAUUGUUAUACUUCCAUGACAGGGAGAGGAAGACAAAACAAAAUGUUGUAUAAUUCGAGACCUGGCGCUACAUGGUGGCAAGACUCUCCAGGAGCUAAGGAGCGUGAUGAAAGUACAACCAAUUCUGAAUUACAAUUCUUUGAUCUGAACACCAUAGUUGCAGCCACAAAUAAUUUCUCUUCUGAGAAUGAACUUGGACGUGGUGGUUUUGGCUCAGUUUAUAAGGUAGUCAGUCAUUCUCAAAUCUGUGAUGACUAUUGAAAUUGUUGGACUUUCUUUCAUUGCACAAACACUACGCUAAGCUGAAUUUUCCUAACUAUGAAUAAGCUAAUUCUACAUGACGAUUAUCAGGGUCAACUAUAUAAUGGACAAGAAAUAGCUGUGAAAAAAUUAUCAAAGGAUUCAGGACAAGGAAAAGAAGAAUUUAAGAAUGAAGCUACGCUUAUUGCAAAACUCCAGCACGUGAAUCUUGUGAGGCUUUUGGGUUGUUGCAUUACAGAAGAAGAGAAGAUGUUAGUCUAUGAGUACUUGCCAAACAAAAGUUUAGACUCUUUCAUUUUUGGUGUGUACCAUUUCUUCUUUUCCAUUUUCAUUUCUUUAAUCUUCUAAGGUUCUUGCAUAAUCACUUGGAGAAGUUAUUUGCCUAAUAAAAAUCAUUAUCAGUAUAUCCUAACAUUGUUUUACUGAUUGAUAUUUUAUAUAUCUUUGGGCCAGAUGAAACAAAGAGGUCAUUGUUAGAUUGGAGGAAACGCUUUGAAAUUAUUGUCGGAAUUGCUCGAGCAAUCUUAUAUCUUCAUGAGGACUCUAGAUUACGAAUCAUACACAGAGAUCUAAAAGCAAGCAAUGUUCUACUAGAUGCCGAAAUGCUUCCAAAAAUUUCAGAUUUUGGCUUGGCUAGAAUAUUUCGAGGAAAUCAAAUGGAAGAAAACACAAAUCGAGUAGUUGGAACAUAGUAAGUGUUAUGUUUGAGAUGCCAAAGAAACAUAAUAGUUAAUAUGUUUUAAUAGUUUGGUUUAUUUGCUAUUACAGUGGUUACAUGUCACCUGAGUAUGCGAUGGAAGGGUUAUUUUCAACAAAAUCCAAUGUUUAUAGCUUCGGAGUUUUGUUGUUAGAGAUUAUUACUGGGAGAAAAAAUAGCACUCAUUAUCGGGACAACCCAUCCAUGAACUUAGUUGGAAAUGUGAGUGAUCUGAAUGUGUGUUGCAUGACCUUUUUCUUUUCAUUCUUUACAAUAAACUAAUAAUGGUAAAAUUCUCAGGUUUGGAACCUAUGGGAAGAAGAUAAAGCCUUGGAUAUAAUUGAUUCAUCACUAGAAAAGUCAUACCCUAUAGAUGAAGUAUUGAGAUGCAUCCAAAUUGGGCUCUUAUGUGUGCAAGAAUUUGCAAUCGAUCGACCUACCAUGUUGACAAUUAUUUUCAUGUUGGGUAACAACUCUGCUCUUCCUUUUCCUAAACGGCCUACAUUUAUUUCAAAAACAACUCACAAGGGUGAAGAUUUAUCAUCCUCUGGUGAACGACUUUUAUCUGUAAAUAAUGUGACCUUGACUUUGCUUCAACCUCGUUAAAUGCUUACACUCUCACAUGUUGUAUGUUUAUCCUCCAUGACAAUGAAUUGUAUACAUGAUAUCACUAAGAGAACACCUUUUGAUUUAAUGAUCAUAGUUAGAUAAUUAACCAACUCUUUAAGUGUAUGCUUAAAGAUAGGGCGAGUAUGGAAACUUGUAGGUACAAUCAAACAAUCGAUUAAAUAUGAUCAGCCCCAUUGAAUUUAUGAGCAUAAACUGUUUCAACAUUAAGGCCUUACAAUCAUACAACUAACAUGGUUCAAAUUGAGCUAAUUCUUUACACAUGAUAUGCUAAAUAGGAUCUAUCAAAUGAUAAACAAAAUAGCCCAUAUGGGUAAUGGAAGAACUUGGAAGGAGGCAAUGCAUUGGUUCAAAACCAUCAUGAGAUGUUUCUCAUAUUUUCGUUUUUGCUAGAAUGGUCAAAUCGACAUCCUCUUUUAUAUUCAGGGCAUACCUGUGGUUCCUAAAAUGAAUUAUUAGGGUCAUUCCCUUUUCCUAUCAAGCAAUGAGUGACCAUGGGAAUAUAUGCCCAUUUGAAUUUUGGAUAGUUGGUUGCCUUGACCAUAAGGCAUCUCAAUGUUGUCCUGAUUCUUGAGGUAGUUAAUAAAAGAAAAGAAAACAAGGGAAUUAUAUAUGUUUUUCUGUUUUGGGCAAGGCAAAUGAGAUCAAAUUUGACAGUAGAUGGAUGUUUAGUACAUGAGCAUCUUCAUUGCAAAUAAUUUUACAAAUUUUGAAUACAUUCUUCAUCAGAUUUCCACUUUCUCUAAAAUACUAUAGAUGGUCGAACAUGGGUACAAGGUAUGGCUUCAAAUCCAUAACAUCUUAAAAUUCAAAGUUAAGAACUGAUUAUGUGAAAUCAAGGGGGGAAAUAUCAUUGGGAAAUGGAAAAAGAUUUGAGAAAUGAUAAUGAUGAAGACUUCAAAGAGAAAAAAAACUGACUUUUACUCUUGAUUAGGAUACUUGGGCCAUCCAACCCUUGACAGAUUGAGUUAAGUUCAAAGAGGGAAAGCCGGCAUAUUCAUAAUUUUAAGAUGAAAAAUGGAUUGGUUUAAAGACUUUAAGGCAUCCCUAAUUUGGUUGGUUUUUAAGUACUGACUAAUGAGAAGAUUUAUUCUUUGUUUUCCUUGAUUUUUUUUUUUUAAUCUCAUUGACAAAUGAACGACAAUACGUGUUAAAAGAAUAAUUAAAAAGACACUAUUACUUCAAGGUGGGGCACAAGGGAAGCAAGACAACAAAAAAUGUUAUAAUUUGAGCCUUGUUGCUACAUGCCUCCAAAAAAUUUUCUCCAAGAACAAAGAAGUAUCGUGUAAGUAGAAUAAAUUAUAAUUUAGGAUAAAAAGUAGAGGAAUUUAAGAAAAUAUGAAUAUAGUUCUUACCGACAACAGUUUAAACUCUUUUAUUUCCAUCCAGUAUAUGUUUUUAAUUUUUGACAAUUUCUACGUCUCUCCAUCUCUUUUGCUUGUGGUCUUACGUUAUCACAUGGAGAAGUUUUACUUAAAAACUAUAUAAUGGUAUUUUAAUACGGUGUCAAAGCUUCAUUUAACGAGAGAUCAUGUGUUUAAGCUUUAUCAUAUAUUUAUUUUUUAAUUUAUAGUUAUUUGUUUAUGGGUAUUCGCCCCUGAGGAAGGACAUCAAAAAACAUAAUAUACAUUAUAAACCAAAAUCCAAUAAAUUUAAGCUUUUAAAAAAAAUUAUAAUUUGCUUAAACCAUUAGAAAACCUGUAGUUGAAAGCGAGGAAACUUUCAUACUUUUUGUUUUGAUGAGACAAAAAUGUCAAUUUUUGAUUGGAUAAGAAACUUCAAAAUAAUUGUUAGAAUUGCUUGAAAAAUCUAAAGUUACAUCUGGUUUCUUGAAAAUAAUAUGAAAAAAAAAAUUAGGAGAAAUGAUUUCCUCAUAUUUAAUUUAUUAUAAAAACAAAAAUACCAUAAAAAUUUAAAUAUAAUUAAAAUUAAUAAAAAUUUUAAUGUAUUUUUAAAUUAAUUAACCUUUAUAAAGAAAAGAAAAAUAAUUUAUUAACUUUAAAUCUAUCUUUUAUUUUUCUUCACUUAUUUAUUUAUUUAAUUUUUUAUUUUUCCUCCCUCUUUCUUUCUAUUACAUUUUCAUCAAAUCUUCCAACAACCGAAUAUAGGGUUAUAUCUUCAUCAAGACAUAACCAUACAUAGGGAUAUAAAAAGCAAGCAAUUAAUAUUCUACUGGUGGUUGGAACAUAGUGUCAUGCAUCCAAUGCCAAAAUACAACAUUGAACAAAUCUUUCCAGUUUGUUUUAUUUGUCACAGCAGCAGCCAUACAUAACUUACAAGAGAUGACUAGUGACACCAACUGGUCAUGAUGCCAAGUUGCUAGCAUAUAACCGAAUUUAUAAUGAAUUAUAUUUAGGACAAAAUUAUGGGACAAAGCUCAAUGGAUUGAUUCCUUCUACUCCCGUCAUACCAAACAUGUUUGUAUAUUGUCACACCAACCACGAGGCCACAUGUAUAAAUAAUAAUUAGCUAUGAUAUCUUCAAACGUACUUAUCAUCAAUUUCUUAUAUUCCCUAACUAUUUUUUUAACACCUUGAAAUUCAAUAUUCAAGUAUUUUCUUUCAUUAAAUAAAAAAAAGUUGCUGAAAUACGAAUUUAAUAGUAAGAUGGAUGAUUAAACCAUGAUCAGACUAUAGUGCAAGUAUCAUAUUAUAAAUAUUUAAUUUAUAUAUUAUUAAAUUUAAAACUAAUUAUAAAAAAUAAAAUUAUAUAGAGACAAUUAAAUUUUUUAAAAUAUUUUAUGAUUGUGUCUUUAUUUAAUAGUUUCAUGUUAAAAAUAAAAUGUAAAUAUGUUAAUAUUUUUUUAUUUUAUUAUAAUAAAAUUAUAAUAUCUAAUUAUUAACAAAAUUGAAACAAAAUUUAUUAUUAAUUCAUUCACGUUUCAUUAAUUUUUUAUUUACAUAUUAUUAAUUUUAAAUUUUAAAUUUUAUAAUUUUAUUACUUAAUAUGUUUUAUGAAUGAGAAGUUAAUUUUAUUUUAAUCUAUUAUAAGUCAUUCAUACAAGGAUAGAAAUGUUUGUCAUGGUAAUAUUCAUGUAAGUAGAAUAAAAAUAUUAGUAAUUAAAGAUAUAUUAAUACUUAGAUUUUAUAAAUAUAUUAAAUAUCAAGAGAAAAUGUCGAUGAAUAUUUUUUCACAAAAUUUUAGUGGAUGAAAAUUAGUAUGGGGCCAUAUAAGGCAAGCCAAUUCCACCUGUGGUUCUUUGUUUUAAAGAGGCAUAAUCAAUUAAAUCAAUUCAAUCCCAUCUCCUUUCGUACACGCAUUCGAAAAUAACCACAAAAUAAAACCUUUUAAAAAUAAUUUAUUACAAAAUAGGAUUAAUAAGGAUAAAAUAAUUCUCAUAUUUGUAAAUUUAAUCCUUUAUAUAUUUUUACUUGAAAAGUAACAUAUUUAAUAUAAUAUCUCUAUUCAUUUUAAGCAUUUACACGGAAUUUUAAAAGAAACAAUUAUUUUUAUAAGAAAAAAGUGAAAGUAUUUUUGUUAAAAUGAGGUUAAAAAAUUAUAAAAGGUUAAAUUUCCAAAUUUGAGUUGUCCAUCACCCUUUUAAUUAAAUAACAUUAAAAAUAAUGCCUUAAUGGAAAAUUACAUAAAAUCUUAAUUAUUUUAAAAAAAAAAUGUAUUAAUUUUGAAUUUUUUAAGAAUGAGUUUUUAUUUUGUGAUCUUUUUGAAAUAUUUGGGAAACCAAAGGUAUGUUUAGGAAGUGUUUUUAAAAAUAAUAUUUUGUGGUUAAAAAAAAAAAAAUGUAUUUGGGAACUAAAUUAUAAAAAACAAUUUUUGUUUUUAAAAAAAAAACAUAUUUGAUUAAGUUAAUAAAAACAGUUUUUAGGAACAAGUAAAAAAAAAAACCUUAUUUCAAAGUUGUUUUUUUUUUUUUAAAUAACAUAAAAUAAAAUUGAGUAUUUUCUUCAAUUAACUUGACAUUAUAAAUAUAUAAAUAAUUUUACAUUUACAAUUCAUAAAAAAUAAAAAUUUGUUCCAUUUUGAAAACUUUUUACAUCUGUUUUAAUUUUUUUUUCAAAGAUUACUUUGUAAACUUGCCUAACUAUAUAUGUUUGAUUUCAAUAAUCGGAAAACAAUCCCAUUAAAAUAUGGUAAAUAUCAAUGAUUGGAUUUUAUGAAGAUAAAAUUUAUAAUAUCAAAUAAUAAUGCAUCAUACUUGGAAACUCAUGAUUUAUUUUUUCUAUUUAAUGAUAUAAAAAAUGUAACUAAUAAUGAUAUAUUUAUGAUAAUUUUUUGUUUAAAAUUUAAUUUAAUUAUUAUAUGAAAGAUAAAACAUUCUUGAAGUAAAUCAAAUUAAUUUAUAUAUAUAUAUAUUCAUAUAUAUUACUACUUUAAUACCUUUUUGGAUAGAAAUCAAGAUCAAAUAUCUUAUCAUUUUUUUUUCUUCAGUCCUCUAUCUCCACUAUUGUCUUUCUAAUCCUCUAAUUCCCUUCACCUAUCUCCUCUUGUUCUCCAUUUCUCUUUCAAGAUUCAAACUUUAUUCUUUGAGGCUCAAUCAUUCCUCUUUAGAUCGACAUUAGUCACCAAGACCAAGAUCAAGAGAUGUGGUUGAUGCACAGAUUCUUGGUAAGGGUUUUAUUAUUAUUAUUAUUAUUAUUAAUUUUUGUAUUUUUGGUCUUUUGUGUUUUUGUUUGGUUUCUAGAAAAUCCAAGAAAUUGUGGAGGUUUUGGGUUUGAAAUGCAUUUGAAAAAUCAUAUGGUGAUAAAAUCCUAAAAUAUCCAAAAAAAAAAUUGAAAUAAAAAUGACAAAAAAUAAAUCCAAAAAUGGUCUGUUAAUAUCGAAUUUUUGUGAAACCAAUUUUUCUUCAUUGUGCAAAGAAGAAACGGUAACACAUAGAGAACAAAUGAAAAAUAUUAAUUGAAAAUAAGGAGAGCAUCCCAUUUUUUUUAUUGUCAAAAUAGUUUUAAAACAUAGAGAAUACCAUUUUUUUUGUUAUCUGAAAAUCGGAUUUUAGAAAACAUGGACAACAAUUGAAAAAACAAAAAACAUUCUCUUACCUAACCCAUUUUUUGUUCUCAAAAGAAAAAAAAAAAAAUAGAUUUUGAAAACACCAACCAAAACAAUGCCAAACUUUUCCUUUUCAAAAUGGUUAAUUACUACGUAUCGGCGGGGACGGGAUUGCAAACUUCGAAAGCAACACCCUUGUGGUCUUGGUUUUUUCAAGGUCCUAAAAGCAGGUGAAAACAUAAAAUAAGAUUGACUUGACCUUUUCAACGUCGUUACAUCGUAUACAUCAAUAUAAGCAUCACUGUGCUCAAUAGAACCCACAAGCAAUGAAUCGGUGAGUCCUUUCCUUGACUUGGCAUCGAGUAGGCUAGUGCCAGUCUUAUCUUCCCAUGGGAGACGCCAAAUGCAUCAAAUAGCGUAGAACAAUUUGAGCAAUUGGCCAUUGCCAAACAUCGCUUUAAGUAAUGUCUUCUGUAAAACUCUGUAGAAAUCUGUAAAAUGGUAUUGGCCUCAAUGCCAAAAAUCGGGUGGCUAUUCUCAUUUAUAUACAAUUACAGAAGAAGUUUUGAAAUACACAAUAACAAAAAUUUAAAAAUACAUAACAAAAAUUCAAAUAUAGUCAAGGGUUAUCUCUUAAAGUAGAUAAGUGUUUAUUUGUUUCAUUCAAUCGCAACUGAUCUGGUGGAUAAGAUAAGUGAGAAGCCAAGGAAAUCUCGGUGGUUUGAAUGUUGUGGUUAUCAUCCCCCCUCAAGCUAAUGGGGAGAGAAACCACCAUUAGCUUGUCACGAAGCAGACAAAACCAAGCUAAACUUAGUCCCUUUGUAAAGAUAUCAGCAGGCUGAUCAUAAGAACCAAUGAACUAAAGGAAAAUAUCUCGAUUAGCAACUUUCUCGCGGAUGAAGUGAAAAUCAACUUCAAUAUGUUUGGUGCGGGCAUGAAACACAGGAUUAGAAGCAAGAGCAAGAGCGCCACUGUUAUCACACCAAAUAGUAGGAGCUGUGGGCAAAGAAAUAUGAAGUUUUUUGAGGAGCAUACGAAUCCAAUACAACUCAGCAGUAGUAAUAGUUAAUGCCCUAUAUUCGGCUUCAGUGCUAGAACGAGCUACCACAGAUUGUUUCUUGGCAGUCCAUGAGAUUAAGCAAGAGCCAAAGAAAACGCCAUACCCAGUAGUUGAUCUUCGAUCAUCGGGAUUACCAGCCCAAUCUGAAUCACAAAAGGCUUGAAGAGUUUGCUCGCCCUUAGUGUACCAUAAUCCCAGAUCAAUGGUGCCUUUUAAGUAACGUAAGACACGUUUUGCUGUUGUCCAAUGAACAGAAUUAGGACAGUGCAUAUGUUGGCAUAGUUGGUUGACAGAAAAUGCUAUAUCAGGUCUAUUCAAGGUGCAAUAUUGAAGAGCUCCCAUAGUUUGUCGAUAUUCUGUAAUUUGAGAAGCUGUGAGUGGCUCACCAACAUGAGUGGAUAAUUUAAGGCCUGUGGUACAAGGAGAGGAAGCAGGUUUUGCCCCAGCCAUCUUGGUACGUUGAAGAAGAUCCCCAAUGUACUUGGAUUGUCGAAGAUGUAGGCCAGAAGAGUCACGACUUGCUUGGAUGCCGAGAAAAUAGCCUAAAGGACCAAGGUCUUUCAUCUUGAACUCGGUCUGUAGCUUUUGGAUUAGAGACUAAAUGAGAGAAGGAUAUGUACCAGAUGAGGAUAAAUAGAUGAAUAUGGCCCUUAUGAUAGACAAAUAAGGAGGCAUCCACUGGUGAGGAUAGGAAACCGAAUUCAAGUAGAGUUUGAGAUAGACGCAUAAACCAAGCACGAGGUGCUUGUUUGAGGCCAUAAAGUGACUUGUUCAGUUUGCAAACAUAAUCUGGAAACUCUGAAUUAACAAACCCCUUAGGUUGCUCCAUAUAUACAUCCUCUAGCAAGAUCCCAUGAAGAAAAGCGUUAGAUACAUCAAGCUAUCUGAUUUCCCAAUCAAAUUGAACAGAAAGUGUAAGAAGCACUCGUACAGUAGAAGGCUUAAUUACUGGACUAAAAGUCUCAAUAAAGUCAAUACCUUCUUCUUGAGCAAAUCCCAAAGCCACUAAUCUUGCUUUGAAUCUGUCAACCUCACCUGUGGAUGUUUGUUUAACUUUAUACACCCACUUAUUUCUCACCACAUUAUGAUCAACAGGUCUAGGACAUAGCUUCCAUGUCUCAUUAGCCAAUAAAGCAUCAUAUUCCUCUCUCAUAGCAACACACCAGUCAGGUAAUAAAGCAGCUUGUCGAUAAGAUGUUGGUGCAAGGGGAGUCACAAUACUGGAUAAUGCUUGGAGAGGAUAUUGAGUGGAAUAGAGUUUAAAAUCUGAAAAUGUGCGAGGUUUGAGGUUGCCUGUUUGGGAGCGAGUUGUCAUGGUGUGAUGAGAGUGAUUGGAAGAAGAGGAAACUUCAGGUAUAGAAAGGAAAGGAGCUGGACCAAGUAUGGGAAAAGGUAGAGUGGAGAUAUGAGGAGAAGUGGGGAUAGGUAAAGAUUCUAGAGGAGAAUCAGGUGAAUCUGAAAUAAUUGGAGAGGAAUGCUGUAAAUUAGAAGUAAAUAAAGAAAAUGAAGGAGAAGGUAAAGGCGUACCUUGAGAGGAGACCACUGGAAGAAGUUCAGAAGACUGCAAUCCAUCCUUAGCAAGAAAUGUAUUCUCAUUAAACACAACAUGUCAUGAGAUUAGAACUUUUUGAGUGACAGGAUCCAAGCAUCUAUAUCCAUUUUGAUGGGAACUAUAACCUAGAAAUAUGCAACGUUUGGAUCUGAACAUUAAUUUGUGAGUUGCAUAUGGUCGCAACAAUGGAAAACAAGCACAACCAAAGGUGCGCAAGGAGGUAUAAUCAGGAUGUUUGCCAAAUAAUUUAAGAUAUGGUGUUUGGUUAUCAAGAGUAGAUGUUGGCAUUCUAUUGAUGAGAAAAAUGGAUGUUAAAAAGGCAUCAACCCAGAAUUUAGUGGGCAAAAGUGACUGAGCUAACAGAGACAGUCCCAUUUCCACCACAUGACGGUGUUUACGCUCAGCAACCCCAUUUUGUUGGGGUGUAUGAGGACAAGUGCGGCGAUGUUGGAUUCCAUUAGAGGAAAGAAACAAUUGAAAUUGGUUGGACAUGUAUUCUCCACCUCCAUCCGAUUGUAAUUGCUUAAUUUUGCAAGAAAAUUGGUUUUCAACUAGUGUUUUGAAUUUAACAAAGCAAGCAUAUACAUCAUAUAUAUUUUGGAGAGGAUAAAGCCAUGAGAAUCGUGAAAAGUCAUCAAUGAAUAAAACAUAAUACUUGCAUCCACUGAGAGAUUUGGUAGAACAAGACCAUACAUUAGUAUGAAUUAAUUGCAAAGGAAAGGAAAAAACACGAGUAGAAGGUUUGAAAGGAAGUUGCUUACCUUUGCCAAGUUGGCAAGAUUCACAAAAAUGCAUUUUAUUCAAUGAUCCUUCAACAGGUAAGGAAUGUUUAUUUAAUAACUGAGACACAAUGGGAAGAGAUGCAUGUCCUAAUCUAGAAUGCCAAAUUGAAACUGAUGCUUUAAUUCCUACAACGGCUGACAAAGCAUGUGAUUUAUUGAUAGACAUUGACCGCAACUGGAUUGGAUAGAGACCCCCUUCACUCUUGCCUUCCAGUAGUGUCGUCCCCGUUUGUAUGUCCUUGACAAAAUAAUGAGUACCAGUUAGAAUAAAGAGGCAAUUGUUAUCAAGACAGAAUUGAUUUAUGGAAAGCAAAUUGGCAGAAGCUUGAGGACAAUGGAGGACACGUUUGAGGUUUAAUUUAGCUUCAGGAGUAUGAAAAAUAGUAGUACCAGUAUGUGCAAUACUUAAACCUUGGCCAUUACCAACAGCUACAUUUUCUUGUCCUGUGUAUGGUUGUUGUAGAGUAAGAUGCUCCAGAUUGGCAGUAAUGUGUUGAUUAGCUCCACUGUCAGCAAACCAUGUCUCUUCCUCUUGCUCAGCAUUGCUAUUUGCCACCAUAGCAGCUAACUGGGUUGGUGGAUGACGACCCUGAUAUGCAUAAUUCAUUAUAUGAAAGCAAUCUAAUGCCUUAUGACUUAGCUUUCCACAGAUUUGACAAGGUGACUUAGGAGUGGAAAAUGAGUGCUGCUUCUGAUUUGGCUGAGGUGAGAAAGGUAAACCAGAGGGUUGUGGUGAAUAUCGAGGACGAGGAUUUUGUGAAAAUGAAGGACGUGAAUAUGGUUUACUUGGGUUUUUGGGUUUGCGAUUGUACUGCUGUUGGUUGGAUUUGGGAGUGAAGAAAGCAAAAUUAUUUGUCUCAGGUGGUAUAGCAAUAUUCUGGUUUUCCAAUAACAGUUCAUAUGACAAGAGCUCGGCUUGAAAAUCUUCAAAAGAAACAUUCUUGUCUCUAGUGGCAAAGGACAGAGAGGUUAUAAAGGGAUUAAAGGAUGGGUUGAGACCACUCACAAUAUAAGACAUUAAGUCAUCAUCCUCAAGUGGCUUACCAACUGCAGCUAAUUCAUCAGACACCAACUUCGUUUUUUCAAGAAAAUCAAUGCACUUCAUUGACCCUUGAUGAAGAGUCUGCAACUUUCGCUUUAGGUGGUGUACACGGGUUCUGGAUUGAGAGGCAAACUUGUUUGCUAGAGAACUCCACACCUCUCGAGCAGAUGUGAUGCCAUAGGCAGAAGCUAGCACCUUGUCAGAUAAAGUGGCAUUGAUCCAACUUAACACACACUGAUCUUUCUUAUUCUAGAGAAUAUAUGUUGGAUUAAGAGAACCAUCAAGAGAUUUUGAUGGACACGGCUCAGAACCAUCCACGAAGCCCAUCAAGUCAUGACUUUUCAGUACUGGCACAAUCUGAGAUGACCAUAUAAGAUAGUUUGUGUCACUCAGCUUGAUCGACACCAGAUGACCAAUGUUUGGAGGAGCAAAGAUAACAUUGGAGGAAGCGGAAGAAGAGAAGGCCAUAGUUGAGAAGGAAAGGAUCGAUUGAAAUUAGGCGUAUGCCAAUCGCUUUGAUACCAUGUAAAACUCUGUAGAAAUCUGUAAAAUGGUAUUAGCCUCAAUGCCAAAAACCGGGUGGCUAUUCUCAUUUAUAUACAAUUACAGAAGAAGUUUUGAAAUACACAAUAACAAAAAUUUAAAAAUACAUAACAGAAAUUCAAAUAUGGUCAAGGGUUAUCUCUUAAAGUAGAUAGGUGUUUAUUUGUUUCAUUCAAUCGCAACUGAUCUGGUGGAUAAGAUAAGUGAGAAGCCAAGGAAAUCUCGAUGGUUUGAAUGUUGUGGUUAUCAAUUCUUCCACCCUUCAAGUAUCUUAAAUCGAUUCAGUUUUAGGUAGAUAUCGUUGUCAUUUUUAAGCCUUACUUCAUAUCAUUAAGCUCCGUCACGUAGUCACCACUCGCCAGUUCAAUGCAUGCGUCAAAAUUGAAGUUGAACCGUUGGGUAGGUGCAAUUUUGAAGUCAUCAAUUCUAUGACAGAUAUAAUACAACUGCAACUUUGUCCAAUUCAUAAAUGCGGUGUGGAGAUAGUACAAAUGCAACUCUGUCUAAAGCUUUUGUCAUUUGCUCCACUCGUUCCUUCAUGGUAUGCCUCGUUAGUUUGUGUUGUAGAAUUGCUCUGUCUCAUCCACCAGCGCUGAGCGUCGGUAACACGGAAGUCAUCACUUUAUCAUGCAGUCACAUAUUUUUUUUACUUAAAGCAUUUUUUGUUCUAAAAAAAAACGGAUUUUGAAAACAACAAUCAAAAGGGCCAAACUUUUCCAUUUCAAAAUGGUUAAUUACUACGUAUGGGUGGGGACAGGAUUGCAAACUUGGAAAGCAACAGUGACAUUUAACGUGGAAAGAUCAGCCCACUCCCUUGUGGUCUUGGUUUUUUUAAGGUCCUAAAACCAGGUGAAAACAUAAAAUAAGAUUGACUUGACCUUUUCAACGUCAUUACAUCGUAUACUUCAGUAUAAGCAUCGUUGUGCUCAAUAGAACCCAAACUACAAGCAAUAUGAAUCAGUGGGUCCUUCUUUCCUUGAUUUCACAUCCACUAGGCUCGUGACAGCCUUAUCUUCCCGUGGGAGACGGCAAAUGCACCAAAUAUCUGAGAACUUUGAACAAUUUGAGCAAUAGAACCCACACAACUACAAGCAAUAUGAAUCAGUGGGUCCUUUCCUUGACUUUACAUCCACUAGGCUCGUGCCAGCUUUAUCUUCCCGUGGGAGACAGCAAAUGCACCAAAUAUCGGAGAACUUUGAACGAUUUGAGCAAUUGGCCAUCGCCAACCACCUCUUUUAAGUAAUGACUUCUUCUACUCUUCAAAUCUCUUCAAUCGAUUCAGUUUUAGGUAGAUAUCAUUGUCACUUCUGAUUCUUUGAACCUUACUUAUUAUCAUUAAGCUCCGUCACGUAGUCGCCACGCGCUAGUACUUCAAUCCACCUGCAACUCGUUCCUUCACGGUAUGCCUCGUUAGUUUGUGUUGUAGAAUUGCUCUGUCUCUUCCACCAGCGCUCAGCAUCGGUAACACGGAAGUCAUCACUUUAUCAUGAAGUCACAUAUGCAUCCUGUAAAGAUGUUUCUUCAGUACUUGCUUCUAUU